rnacentral:rRNA from 1 species
AGCAAGCACCGGCUAACUCCGUGCCAGCAGCCGCGGUAAUACGGAGGGUGCAAGCGUUACUCGGAAUCACUGGGCGUAAAGCGCGCGCAGGCGGCUAUUUAAGUUGGAUGUGAAAGCCUACGGCUCAACCGUAGAACUGCAUCCAAAACUAUUUAGCUAGAGUGUGGGAGAGGAAGAUGGAAUUAGUUGUGUAGGGGUAAAAUCCGUAGAGAUAACUAGGAAUACCAAAAGCGAAGGCAAUCUUCUGGAACACUACUGACGCUGAGGCGCGAAGGCGUGGGGAGCAAACAGGAUUAGAUACCCUGGUAGUCCACGCAGUAAACGAUGAAUGUUAGUCGUCGGGUAGCUAGUCUAUUCGGUGAUGCAGCUAACGCAUUAAACAUUCCGCCUGGGGAGUACGGUCGCAAGAUUAAAACUCAAAGGAAUAGACGGGGACCCGCACAAGUGGUGGAGCAUGUGGUUUAAUUCGAAGAUACGCGAAGAACCUUACCUAGCCUUGACAUAUAUUAGAACACCCUAGAGAUAGAGUGGUGCCUUCGGGAGCUUUUAUACAGGUGCUGCACGGCUGUCGUCAGCUCGUGUCGUGAGAUGUUGGGUUAAGUCCCGCAACGAGCGCAACCCUCGUCACUAGUUACUAACGGUUCGGCCGAGGACUCUAGUGAGACUGCCUUCGUAAGGAGGAGGAAGGUGAGGACGACGUCAAGUCAUCAUGGCCCUUACGGCUAGGGCAACACACGUGCUACAAUGGCCAGGACAAUGAGAAGCGAUACCGCGAGGUGGAGCAAAUCUAUAAACCUGGUCUCAGUUCGGAUUGUAGUCUGCAACUCGACUACAUGAAGCUGGAAUCACUAGUAAUCGUAGAUCAGCUAUGCUACGUGAAUACGUUCCCCGGGUCUUGUACUCACCGCCCGUCACACCAUGGAGUGAUUUCACCCGAAGCGGGUGCUAAACUGGCUACCCUCCACGGUGGAUAGCGACUGGGUGAGGUCGUAACACGUUAACGAUUCACUAUUGAUCGCGUCGCUGCAGUCGA